ensembl:snRNA U6 U6 spliceosomal RNA
GUGCUCACUUCAGCACACACGUUCUAAAAUUGGAACAAUACAUGAGAUAAGCAUGGUCCCUACUUAAGGAUGACAUGCAAAUUCAUGAAGUGUUCUUAUAUUUU